GACGAACGCUGGCGGCGUGCUUAACACAUGCAAGUCGAACGGAAAGGCCCUGCUUUUGUGGGGUGCUCGAGUGGCGAACGGGUGAGUAACACGUGAGUAACCUGCCCUUGACUUUGGGAUAACUUCAGGAAACUGGGGCUAAUACCGGAUAGGAGCUCCUGCUGCAUGGUGGGGGUUGGAAAGUUUCGGCGGUUGGGGAUGGACUCGCGGCUAUCAGCUUGUUGGUGGGGUAGUGGCUUACCAAGGCUUUGACGGGUAGCCGGCCUGAGAGGGUGACCGGCCACAUUGGGACUGAGAUACGGCCCAGACUCCUACGGGAGGCAGCAGUGGGGAAUAUUGCACAAUGGGCGGAAGCCUGAUGCAGCAACGCCGCGUGCGGGAUGAAGGCCUUCGGGUUGUAAACCGCUUUCGCCUGUGACGAAGCGUGAGUGACGGUAAUGGGUAAAGAAGCACCGGCUAACUACGUG
rnacentral:rRNA from 1 species